GACGAACGCUGGCGGCGUGCCUAAUACAUGCAAGUAGAACGCUGAAGGAGGAGCUUGCUUCUCUGGAUGAGUUGCGAACGGGUGAGUAACGCGUAGGUAACCUGCCUGGUAGCGGGGGAUAACUAUUGGAAACGAUAGCUAAUACCGCAUAAUAGUAGAUGUUGCAUGACAUUUGCUUAAAAGGUGCGAUUGCAUCACUACCAGAUGGACCUGCGUUGUAUUAGCUAGUUGGUGGGGUAACGGCUCACCAAGGCGACGAUACAUAGCCGACCUGAGAGGGUGAUCGGCCACACUGGGACUGAGACACGGCCCAGACUCCUACGGGAGGCAGCAGUAGGGAAUCUUCGGCAAUGGACGGAAGUCUGAUCGAGCAACGCCGCGUGAGUGAAGAAGGUUUUCGGAUCGUAAAGCUCUGUUGUAAGAGAAGAACGAGUGUGAGAGUGGAAAGUUCACACUGUGACGGUAUCUUACCAGAAAGGGACGGCUAACUACGUG
rnacentral:rRNA from 1 species